GACAGAGGGUGCAAACGUUGUUCGGAAUUACUGGGCGUAAAGCGAGUGUAGGCGGUCUGCUAAGUCGGGUGUGAAAGCCCUGGGCUCAACCCAGGAAGUGCACUCGAAACUGGCAGGCUAGAGUACUGGAGAGGUUGGUGGAAUUCUCGGUGUAGAGGUGAAAUUCGUAGAUAUCGAGAGGAACACCGGUGGCGAAGGCGGCCAACUGGACAGAUACUGACGCUGAGGCUCGAAAGCGUGGGGAGCAAACAGG
rnacentral:rRNA from 1 species